rnacentral:misc_RNA from 1 species
AACGGUCUAUACCUGCGGUACCUGCGGAGGGAUCAUUACUGAAGAUAUAGGGUUUUGAGACUGCGUCCUUAAAAUGGCGUGUGCUCGACUCCUACUCUUUUAUCCACACACACCUUUGUGCACCAUGGGGGAACGUAAGUUCCCUCCUUUUCUUAUAUCACAAAUACCUAGUUUUUUUAUGCAUGUUUUAUGUGCUCUACGGAGUAAUGUACAACUUUUAACAACGGAUCUCUAGAUCGG